rnacentral:rRNA from 1 species
UGCAAGUCGAACGGUGAGGAUCACUUCUGGUCUGAUCAGUGGCGAACGGGUGAGUAACACGUGAGUDACCUGCCCCUUACUUCGGGAUAACUGCUGGAAACGGUGGCUAAUACCGGAUAUGACUGCUUGCCGCAUGGUGGGUGGUGGAAAGUUUUUCGGUGAGGGAUGGGCUCGCGGCCUAUCAGCUUGUUGGUGGGGUGAUGGCCUACCAAGGCGACGACGGGUAGCCGGCCUGAGAGGGCGACCGGCCACACUGGGACUGAGACACGGCCCAGACUCCUACGGGAGGCAGCAGUGGGGAAUAUUGCACAAUGGGCGCAAGCCUGAUGCAGCGACGCCGCGUGGAGGAUGACGGCCUUCGGGUUGUAAACUCCUUUCAGCAGGGAAGAAGCGCAAGUGACGGUACCUGCAGAAGAAGCGCCGGCUAACUACGUGCCAGCAGCCGCGGUAAUACGUAGGGCGCAAGCGUUGUCCGGAAUUAUUGGGCGUAAAGAGCUCGUAGGCGGUGUGUCGCGUCUGCUGUGAAAACUCAAGGCUCAACCUUGGGCUUGCAGUGGGUACGGGCACACUAGAGUGCGGUAGGGGUGACUGGAAUUCCUGGUGUAGCGGUGGAAUGCGCAGAUAUCAGGAGGAACACCGAUGGCGAAGGCAGGUCACUGGGCCGCAACUGACGCUGAGGAGCGAAAGCAUGGGGAGCGAACAGGAUUAGAUACCCUGGUAGUCCAUGCCGUAAACGUUGGGCACUAGGUGUGGGACCCAUUCCACGGGUUCUGUGCCGCAGCAAACGCAUUAAGUGCCCCGCCUGGGGAGUACGGCCGCAAGGCUAAAACUCAAAGAAAUUGACGGGGGCCCGCACAAGCGGCGGAGCAUGCGGAUUAAUUCGAUGCAACGCGAAGAACCUUACCAAGGCUUGACAUGUACCGGAAACAUCCAGAGAUGGGUGCCCCGUAAGGUCGGUGCACAGGUGGUGCAUGGUUGUCGUCAGCUCGUGUCGUGAGAUGUUGGGUUAAGUCCCGCAACGAGCGCAACCCUCGUCCCAUGUUGCCAGCGGGUUAUGCUGGGCACUCUAUCGGGACUGCCCGGGUUAACCGGGAGGAAGGUGGGGAUGAUGUCAAGUCAUCGUGGCCUUUAUGCCCAGGGCGACACGCGUCAUACAGUGGCCGUUACAACGGGCAGCUACAUCGCGAGAUGAUGCUAAUCCCUUAAAGGCGGCCAUGGUUCGGAUUGCAGGCUGCAACUCGCCUGCAUGAAGAUGGAAUCGCUAGUAAUCACAGAUCAGCCAUGCUGUGGUGAAUGCGUUCUCGGGGCUUGUACACACCGCCCGUCACGCCAUGGAAGUCGUGGGCGCCCGAAGAUGUGGUGUCUAACCUCGUGAGGACCUGCAUUGAGGGUGACUCGGUAACUGGGGCGAGUCGUAACAAGGUAGCCG